rnacentral:lncRNA from 1 species
AGUCGGUGGGACUAUCCGCGGUGGAAUUCACCAGCCGUCACCUGCGCGCGGUCGACGUCGGUGUUUGGAGUUGGGGAACGGCGGGCGCAUCACGACACAUCGCUCGGUGGUCGAUGAUUGGGAGGAGGCGGCUCCGUACAGGCGGAAUUUCUCACCGUCGCUGGGAAAUCUCUGUGGACCGCACAACCACGUGGACAGAGCCGCUAUCGUCCCGAAUCCGGGGUAAGAUCACCUCCAUACUCUCUGCCCUACUCUCCUCUACGCGAGUACCCUUCGGAUGAGGUCUUGGGGCAUUAAAUCGCAGUGUCCGCGCUCGGCGGCGAAGCGCCGUCGUGAAGUACAAUCCACCGUCGUGUUGGAGGGCAGAAGGUUGAAGAUGACGCCGGGCCAUCCGAUCUGAUCGUGCGGCUAGGAUUAGAUCAACA